GCUUAACACAUGCAAGUCGAACGAUGAUGCCCAGCUUGCUGGGCGGAUUAGUGGCGAACGGGUGAGUAACACGUGGGUGAUCUGCCCUGCACUUCGGGAUAAGCCUGGGAAACUGGGUCUAAUACCGGAUAUGACCACAGGAUGCAUGUUUUGUGGUGGAAAGGUUUACUGGUGCAGGAUGAGCCCGCGGCCUAUCAGCUUGUUGGUGGGGUAAUGGCCUACCAAGGCGACGACGGGUAGCCGGCCUGAGAGGGCGACCGGCCACACUGGGACUGAGACACGGCCCAGACUCCUACGGGAGGCAGCAGUGGGGAAUAUUGCACAAUGGGCGAAAGCCUGAUGCAGCGACGCCGCGUGAGGGAUGACGGCCUUCGGGUUGUAAACCUCUUUCAGCAGGGACGAAGCGCAAGUGACUGUACCUGCAGAAGAAGCACCGGCUAACUACGUGCCAGCAGCCGCGGUAAUACGUAGGGUGCGAGCGUUGUCCGGAAUUACUGGGCGUAAAGAGUUCGUAGGCGGUUUGUCGCGUCGUGUGUGAAAUCCCGCAGCUCAACUGCGGGCUUGCAGGCGAUACGGGCAGACUUGAGUACUGCAGGGGAGACUGGAAUUC
rnacentral:rRNA from 1 species